UCAAAUAGAGAACGAUAUUGAGUUAAACGGAUCGUGAUAACGAACUCAUAAUCUCAAGAUUUGAAUGUUCCAACUCAAAUAAUCCCAAAAAUAAAAAAUUGAUUCUUUAAAUUGGAACUUGUCAUGGUAGCAGCGAGAUAUAAUCUAUUCACACAUUUUACAUAUCGAAGCUUUCUAGUGAACGAUCAAACGAUUGACUUGCAUGAUUCACUGAAUUUUUUGUCAUUUCUCAGGUGCAACUAGGUGCAGCGAAAUGGCGCUAGUACAAUGAUAUGACCAUGUCGCGUAUCUCGACCUAGCAUGAGACAGACAGAAGACUAGGAAGACGCGCGGUGAAUCACUCUCGCUCUGUGAAAGAGUUGGCUGACGUUCCGCGGCUCCAAAUUAGGGGAAAGUUCGACGGAAGCUACUGAUGCCGACGCCACUGUGUGGGGUUUCCCGAGCGAGCCGAGGAGAAGCGAGACGAGGCAAGAAUAUCGCGUAGCACGCAAUAUAGUCUCACAGAUAUUUUUAAAUACUCUGUAGUAUCUCAUGGCGUCGCGUCGCGACGCGCCGCGUAACAUAACGUGCCAAAUUCCAUUGCGUACGCAAAACAAUCUUUAUUUGUUUUCUUUUUUAUUAAGUAUAUUGCACAAGGUAUUUUCAUAUUAGCGAAUCUCAAAUAUAAAAUUGUUUCCUUUCUUUAAAGAAAAGAUAAUGUUUCACGUUUGCAUUUUUACAAAAUAAUAUUACGAUAAAAUUAUUUUUAUUGAAAUAGAGAAAUAAUCUAAAUGAUCUAAAAAAAUUAUAUAAAGAGUUCUUAUAAGAGAAUAAAUGGAGAAUAAACUCA